rnacentral:rRNA from 1 species
GACGAACGCUGGCGGCGUGCUUAACACAUGCAAGUCGAACGGAAAGGCCCUGCUUUUGUGGGGUGCUCGAGUGGCGAACGGGUGAGUAACACGUGAGUAACCUGCCCUUGACUUUGGGAUAACUUCAGGAAACUGGGGCUAAUACCGGAUAGGAGCUCCUGCUGCAUGGUGGGGGUUGGAAAGUUUCGGCGGUUGGGGAUGGACUCGCGGCUUAUCAGCUUGUUGGUGGGGUAGUGGCUUACCAAGGCUUUGACGGGUAGCCGGCCUGAGAGGGUGACCGGCCACAUUGGGACUGAGAUACGGCCCAGACUCCUACGGGAGGCAGCAGUGGGGAAUAUUGCACAAUGGGCGGAAGCCUGAUGCAGCAACGCCGCGUGCGGGAUGACGGCCUUCGGGUUGUAAACCGCUUUCGCCUGUGACGAAGCGUGAGUGACGGUAAUG